AAAGUUUUUACUUGUANGCUAGGCGGCGUUNUCUAAUACAUGCAAGUNCGAGCGAACGGNUAAGGAGCUUGCUCCUUUGAAGUUAGCGGCGGACGGGUGAGUAACACGUGGGUAACCUACCUAUAAGACUGGAAUAACUUCGGGAAACCGGAGCUAAUGCCGGAUAACAUUUGGAACCGCAUGGUUCUAAAGUAAAAGAUGGUUUUGCUAUCACUUAUAGAUGGACCCGCGCCGUAUUACGCUAGUUGGUAAGGUAACGGCUUACCAAGGCAACGAUCCGUAGCCGACCUGAGAGGGUGAUCGGCCACACUGGAACUGAGACACGGUCCANACUCCUACGGGAGGCAGCAGUAGGGAAUCUUCCGCAAUGGACAAAAGUCUGACGGAGCAACGCCGCGUGAGUGAUGAAGGUUUUCGGAUCGUAAAACUCUGUUAUUAGGGAAGAACAAAUGCGUAAGUAACUGUGCGCAUCUUGACCGUACCUAAUCAGAAAGCCNCNGCUAACUNCNUGCCAGCAGCCGCNGUAAUACGUANGUGGCCAGCGUUUUNCGGAAUUAUNAGNGCGUAAANCCCNCGUUNGCGGGNUUUNAAA
rnacentral:rRNA from 1 species